rnacentral:rRNA from 1 species
CCUACGGGAGACAGCAGUGAGGAAUAUUGGUCAAUGGCCGUAAGGCUGAACCAGCCAAGUCGCGUGAAGGAAGAAGGAUCUAUGGUUUGUAAACUUCUUUUAUAGGGGAAUAAAGGUAUCCACGUGUGGCUAUUUGCAUGUACCCUAUGAAUAAGCAUCGGCUAACUCCGUGCCAGCAGCCGCGGUAAUACGGAGGAUCCGAGCGUUAUCCGGAUUUAUUGGGUUUAAAGGGUGCGUAGGUUGUUUUUUAAGUCAGCGGUGAAAGUUUGUGGCUCAACCAUAAAAUUGCCGUUGAAACUGGAAGACUUGAGUGUGUUUGAGGUAGGCGGAAUGUGUGGUGUAGCGGUGAAAUGCAUAGAUAUCACGCAGAACUCCGAUUGCGAAGGCAGCUUACUAAGCCAUAACUGACACUGAAGCACGAAAGCGUGGGGAUCAAACAGGAUUAGAUACCCGUGUAGUC